AAAUCCCUGCUCAUCAUUCAUCACCAAUUAAAUAAGAUGCCACCGAUAAGUCGGAGAAAGCCAACCGCCUUCAUCUUCCAUCUUCUUAUUCACUAAUAAAAGCAGUUAGGGUUUAUCAAUCUAAACCUAACCCUAACACCAUGGCCCGAUCUCCAUCCUCCACGGCGUGUCUGCUCUACACUCUCCGUUCAUCCAUUUCUGCAUCACCGAAAUCACCGCCGUCGCCAAUCACCGCGCUCCUCCACCCCCACCGCCACUACUCCGCCGUACCAUCUCUGAGAGUAAAGGACGACAAGGAUCCAUGGUGGAAGGAAUCAGUAGAUAAGGUACUCCCCACAAGGACACAGUGAACAGAGAUUUCAGUUGACAGCAACAAACUUUCGAAUCUGCAAGGCAAAGGCACCAAGAUGGCUACGCGGUCAAGAUUCGUGGCCAUAACUGAAUAAUUUGGGGUGAUGUUAAUCUGUGAAAAGGAUCCAUACCCACCCUCGUAUUGUCUACAAGAGAGUUUUUAUUACCGAAUGAUGACAAGAACAGCCUACAACAGGGUGGAUUUUUGCCUCGUGGAAUAUGAGGUGGUCAAAUUCGCGCCAUCACUCUUGGCUGCAGCUUCUGUUUACACUGCUCAGUACAAUCUUUGUGGAUUCAAACAUUGGUCCAAAACUUGUGAAUGGCAUACAAAAUAAUCCGAAGAUCAACUUCUGUUCAGUUUCGGGCUCAGUUUCUGGUCCGGGUUUGUGUACACAGGAGCAGAUAACAAUUGUGAGUGAAAUUGUCUUAGGGGUGGAUAAAAAUUGUACUUUUGAUGAUGUUAAAAAGGCUUAUAGGAAACUGUCAUUGAAAGUUCAUCCUGAUAAGAAUAAGGCACCGGUUCAGACGAGGCGUUUAAGAAGGUUUCGAAAGCGUUUAAAUGUUUAAGCGAUGAGGAGAGUCGAAAACAAUAUGAUCUUUACGGGUUUAGUAACGGAUAAGGGUCUGAUGGGCUUGUUUACGAGAAAGAGAGUUGGCGUCGGGAUGUUCGUCGAGGAUUCGGUAACGGGUAAGGGUUUUAUUACGAAGAUGAUGUUGAUGCGUAGGAGAUUUUUAGGAGAUUUUUUUUCGGUGGGGUGAACCCGCGGGCUGCAACACCGUUUAGUGCGGGUCAUAAUGGGUCGGAUGGGUUUGAUAUGAGGACUUUGAUUACGUUGUUACCGGUGCUUGUGAUGCUUUUUGCCUUCGAACGAGACUGUGUAUUCGCUUUCCAGAACUUAUGUUUAGGAUCACCGUUUGGUUACACAAAAUGGGGUUCCUUUUUUUGUGAAAUUGUGUGACUUUGAGCCAAAUUAUCCGUUGAAUACUGAAGAAAGGUUGAGGUGGAACAUGUGUGUUAGUGGUUGGUUAAUGGGUCAAAAUGGGUAACUUUAUGUAUAGGUCGAAAUGGGUUGGUUUAAAAUGGGCUUGUAACGCUUGCAUAAGUUUAUAAAUAUGGUAUUGUUUAAUAUUUCGAAAUUAGAUAUUGCAAAUGAUAUCUUCUGUCAUUUUAUCAUACACAAUUUAGAGUCGCUUGUUCGCCUGAUUUAUGGUAAAAUGGGACUGAUAUUCCCGCA